rnacentral:rRNA from 1 species
CCUACGGGGGGCUGCAGUCGAGAAUCAUUCACAAUGGGGGAAACCCUGAUGGUGCGACGCCGCGUGGGGGAAUGAAGGUCUUCGGAUUGUAAACCCCUGUCAUGUGGGAGCAAAUUAAAAAGAUAGUACCACAAGUGGAAGAGACGGCUAACUCUGUGCCAGCAGCCGCGGUAAUACAGAGGUCUCAAGCGUUGUUCGGAAUCACUGGGCGUAAGGCGUGCGUAGGCUGUUUCGUAAGUCGUGUGUGAAAGGCGCGGGCUCAACCCGCGGACGGCACAUGAUACUGCGAGACUAGAGUAAUGGAGGGGGAACCGGAAUUCUCGGUGUAGCAGUGAAAUGCGUAGAUAUCGAGAGGAACACUCGUGGCGAAGGCGGGUUCCUGGACAUUAACUGACGCUGAGGCACGAAGGCCAGGGGAGCGAAAGGGAUUAGAUACCCGUGUAGUC